CAGGUGCUCUGCUCAGGCUCCAGGCAGCGUCUCUGCACACAGCCGCCACCACCAUCCUAGACUGAGUGUCGUGAGCAGCGCUUCUCCAAACGGCCUGGAGCUGAGACGUCAGUACUAGGAGCUCUGGCCCCCGGGGCCUGGGGCAAGGCGUCUACAGGCAGCCCUCUAUGAGCAAGUGAACGGGACUGAGCACAAAGGACUAAGAAAAGGCUGAUUUCCUCACACUGUUGGUGGUGCAUUUGAAAACAUGGGACACAGCCUGUGCAGCGAUGCCCUUGGCCAGUGACGACACUCAGCAGCCCUUCCCAAGUCUUACUGAGAAUCCCUUGCCUGUCAAGAACUCCCCUGGGCCCUGAGAAUGCCCCGUGAACAGAAGAAAACAGGCAUCGUGAUUUCUCUGAAGUUACUGGUGAGAAACGCAGCUCUGAGAACACGCCACCUCCACACCGCCUCCACACCACCUCCACCCACUCUGGCCAUGCAGGAUCCGCCCCCUCUUCAGUAUCUUUGCUACAACUUCUGCUCUGUUUCACACAGCAGGAGCAGCCAUGAGGCAGCUCUCAGGACCUUAGUAGGGCCGGUGAUGCUUUUUUUUUUUUUUCAUCCUAGUCAUAUCUCCAAGCAGUGCAUCACCACCAGCUUCCGAAUUGGUUUUGACGAACGUUCUCAGCUGUCAAGGAUCCUUCUUACUGUCAUUUUGGGCAAGGUUGUGUUAUUGCAGACAUUUUGAAUAUUU
ensembl:lncRNA